UCCUAACCAGCUUCCAGCCCCCUGACUCCUAUGCACAUUUUCUGAUUGCUAAUGCUUUUAUAUAAACAGAUGAUGACACACAUUGCAUUUUAGAAUAUUUUCAAUUUUCAUAAAAGUUACAAAGAUAGUAGAGCAUUUUCAUCUACCCUUCACCUGUUUUCCUAUAAAGUUAUUAACAUCCCACAUUGCCAUGGUGUACCUGUCAAAACUAAGAAACCAACAUUGGUUGUUGAUGUCUUUUCAGCUGUUUUUAAACAAGGAAGUCUGGAAUUGAGUACGUAAGCAGAGCUGAAUCCACGGCAGUGAAGAGAGGAGCUGGCCAGCCUGUACAGUCUGGAUUCUCCAGGCAGAUGGUGGACAUGAGAAAGUGGCCUGCACCCUGGGUUGCCCUUUGGUGGCCUCAAGGGAGUCCAAGUUCCCAACCUCUGUCGAACAAGCUGACACUCACAGCCUUCUAGAGAUAGUGGGUGAUGUCACAAUUUGCUCCCACAGGGGACUGUGAUGGGGUCAGGGGGAGAAGAAGAAGAAAUAACAUCUAUCAAAUCAGCCCUGACUCAAAGUUCAGCUCACCCACCAGGAAUAAAACAUUUUCUACUGAAAAUGAAGAUAUUUCUGAGUGUCCAGAUCAAAGACAGAAACAUAAUCUGUUGCAAAAUUUCUGCUCUUCUUGAGUUGCUGAAAGUAGUUGUUCCUGGUGCUAAAAACUGCAGCUCCUUGAGAGAAGAGAAUAUGUCAGUUUUGUUCUCUGCUGUAACUUCAAUGCUGAGAGCAAGGUACAGAUUCAGCUUCCACAUUUUUAUAACAAGGCUAUAAUACCUGUCUGAUGCAGCUAUUAUAAAAUCUGAGUGAGUUACUCACACAUUCAUGUAUUCAAUCAGUGAGUCUAUCAAUGAACUUAUCGAACAGUGCCUUUAACAAGUCAAUUCCCUGAGAAUACAGCCUGAAUAAGACAUGUGCUUUGCCCUUAGCUCUUAGCAUCAGGUAG
rnacentral:lncRNA from 1 species